UUCGCUUGGUUGCCGUUUUAUUUUUGGAGUAUUUUGUAGUUAUAAACACGCCUGAGUUACUAACUUUCUGUAAGAACAUUUUAAUUUCCCGUUUAAUUUUUUUGGUUUCUUCCCCCAGCUGCACUUGCUGGCAGGCGAUUAUGAAGCAGGCGGGGACACGCAUGGAGUCGUGAUAAAGGCCCAUGGAUUACGCUGCGGCACUUGCAGGCAGGCGGUCGUGAAGCAGGCGGUGACAGGGAUGGAGCAGUUAUGAAAGCCCAUGGAUUACACUGUUGUCAGAGCCAACUGAGGUUCGAACUCUUGUGCUCCAAGGACUACCUCUUGUGUUUGGAGAUGACUCCCCUGCUUUCUUCAAGACAUGUUUGAUGUCCGAUGAUCUUGACGUUCCAGUGGGGAUUGUAAUAGUUGAAGAUGGGACUACUCUUCAGCCUCUCAACUCUCUGCAUUUGCCUCUCUCCUCAUUUGGGAUAGUAAUUGAGGGAAAAGUGGUGAUGGACAAUCUACGUGACCUUUCUGAAUCAAUGUGCCUUCUGUUUGGACUAAUUUAUGCGUUACACUUAAAUUACCCAAAGUCACUGAAGUACACAUUUGAAUUUAUUCAACGCAUUCUCCUUUCCAUGGGGCAGAAAGACCUGCAGCCUAAGAUACAAUCCUUGGCUAACCAGCUGUUCCAUUAAAAUGGAUAAACAAGAUCAGCACAUGCAUUUUCAUAAAAAAAAAAAAAAAAAAAACACUUAAGAUACAGCAUGGGGGGGGGUCUCUUUCUGUUUUGUGCUUUUCUUGUCAGCUGAGAUUUAAAAAAAAAAAAAGACCUUUACAUUGGAAAUUAAAAACAUUUUAACAUUUAAAAAGUCAGUAAGACUUUUACCAGCAAAGUGGAAACUUGUCUUUUUUCCUUUUUCUCUAACCUUUUACUUGCAGAGAAUGUAGUUUGUUCACAUUCAAUGACAGGACACUCAAAUUUGUUGCACAAUUCUGUGGAAUGACAACAAACCUACCGUACAAAACACUGUGGUAGGUCCAGAUUAAUACCAUGGUAUUUAUAACACACAAGGAACUGGAAAAUCUCAAACCAAAAAUAUGAGUUUACAGUUUUGUCUCUUCUAAAAAUGUGACAAAAUGUCUAGAUAAAAAUAAGCUAACCAUUUGGUUGUUAAUGUGUCUUUUAAAAUGUUAUAAUAAAUAAUAGGUUUACAUCUAAAAACAGUUUACCGUUAAAACAAUAGCUUAUGUUCAUGUCUUUUAAAAAUGUGAGUUUACUGUUAAAAAUUUGCUAUUUCUUUGUUUGUGCGUCUUUUAAAAAUGUGAGCUUGCACUUAAAAAUACCUUUUCUGUUAAAAAUGAGUUCAGGUUUUCUAAAAAUGUGAGCUUAUGAUUUUGUUCAUGUCUUAAAAAUGACUGAAUGUGAUCUUACAGAUGAAAAUAGGAGUUUGCUGUUAAAAUGAGCUCAUGAUUUUGUUGUUCAUGUCUUUUAAAAAUGUGGGCUUACUGUUAUAAGCAAUGAAAUGUAAAUGCAGUAUAAUCCUAAUAAAGUGGUUGAUUUGGGAAAAAACAACUUGUUUUAAUGAUUUAUAAAUUAUUUAAUACAAGUAAAGAAUAUAUAAGCUGAAAAUUUGGGAAGUUUUGUCUAUUAGCCCUUUUAAGUUAUUUGUACUUAAACAUUUAAGUUAAUUCAAUGAAGAGACCACAUUUGGUUAACUCAAUAAAUCGAGUUGUCAAUUUUCCAUUACUCAAACGAACUGAGGGAAUCACUUUCCUCAAAUCAUUUGAGUACUCUCAACUUAUUAGGGUUUACAGUGUAUGUACUGC